rfam:Salmo salar isolate Sally breed double haploid chromosome ssa09, whole genome shotgun sequence.
AACCCUAAUUGCUGUAAGUCGCUCUGGAUAAGAGCAUCUGCUAAUUGACCUUUU